CGAGCUAAAGAGCAGAGCGCGCGGGCCGGUCAUCAUGUUGCGCUAUGGGCGGUAUGGAGGAGAAACCAAGGUGUAUGUUGGUAACCUUGGCACUGGUGCUGGCAAAGGAGAGUUAGAAAGGGCUUUCAGUUAUUAAGGUCCUUUAAGAACUGUAUGGAUUGCGAGAAAUCCUCCAGGAUUUGCCUUUGUGGAAUUUGAAGAUCCUAGAGAUGCAGAAGAUGCAGUACGAGGACUGGAUGGAAGGGGGAUUUGUGGUUCCCGAGUGAGGGUUGAACUAUCAACAGGCAUGCCUCGGAGAUCACGUUUUGGUAGACCACCUGCCCGACGUCCCUUUGAUCCUAAUGAUAGAUGCUAUGAGUGUGGUGAAAAGGGACAUUAUGCUUAUGAUUGUCAUCGCUACAGCCGGCGAAGAAGAAGCAGGUCACGGUCUAGAUCACGUUCUCGAUCCAGAGGAAGGCGAUACUCUCGCUCACGCAGCAGGAGCAGAGGAUGGAGGUCAAGAUCAGCAUCUCCUCGACGAUCAAGAUCUGUGUCUCUUCGUAGAUCAAGAUCAGCUUCACUCAGAAGAUCUAGGUCUGGUUCUAUAAAAAGGAUCGAGGUAUUUCCAAUCCCGUUCAAGAUCAAGAUCAAGAUCCAGGUCUCUUUCCCAACCAAGAAGCAGCCGAUCAAAGUCCAGAUCUCCAUCUCCAAAAAGAAGUCGUUCCCCAUCAGGAAGUCCACGCAGAAGUGCAAGUCCUGAAAGAAUGGACUGAAGCUCUCAAGUUCACCCAUUAGGGAAAAGUUAUUUUGUUUACAUUAUUAUAAGGGAUUUGUGAUGUCUGUAAACUGUAACCUAGGAAGGAUAUUUCAACCAUCUAAUCAAAAUAGAUCUGGAUUAUCACUCUGUAAAUUCACAGCAGUAAGAUAAUAUAAAUUUAUUGAAUGUAUUCACAUCCUAUGGUCUGAAAAUGUGGGUUUUUAUUUGGCACAUUUAAAUAAAAUGUUUCUA